UCGUUCGGAAAGGAAGAAGUCGGCUGCAUGCCGGUGCCGAAGGAGCAACCGCCCCGGUAAACUCUCAGGCAAAAGGACCUUCUGAACUU
rnacentral:ncRNA from 2 species